AGGGGUGGCUCUGGUCACCAGCUAAGGUGGCCUCUGUCACCAUCUGGGGGUGGCCUCUGUCACCAUCCAGGGGUGGCCUCUGGUCACUAUCCAGAGGUGGCCCUGGUCACCAGCUGAGGUGGCCUUUGUCACCUCCCCCGUGGCUCUGGUCACCAGCUGAGGGUGGCCUCUGUCACCAGCCUGGUGGCACCUGUAGGAGUGGCCUCUGUCACCAUCCACAUGGCCCUUGUCACCAUCCAGGGGUGGCCUGUCCCCAUCCAGGGGUGGCUCUGUCACCUGCUGGGGGUGGCACUUGUAGAAGCGGUGUCUGUCCCCAUCCAGAUGUGGCUGUCCCCAUCCAGGUGUGGCUCUGUCACCAUCCAGGUGUGGCUGUCCCCAUCCAGAUGUGGCUCUGUCACCAUCCAGAUGUGGCUGUCACCAUCCAGCUGUGACUGUCCCCAUCCAGAUGUGGCCCUGUCACCAUCCAGAUGUGGCUGUCCCCAUCCAGAUGUGGCCCUGUCACCAUCCAGGAGUGGCUCUGUCACCAUCCAGAUGUGGCCCUGUCACCAUCCAGAUGUGGCCCUGUCACUAUCCAGGUGUGGCUCUGUCCCCAUCCAGAUGUGGCUGUCACCAUCCAGAUGUGGCUGUCCCCAUCCAGAUGUGGCUGUCACCAUCCAGGAGUGGCCCUGUCACCAUCCAGAUGUGGCUCUGUCACCUCCUCCUCUCCUUCUCUUCCUCUUUUUUUUGUUU